GUGUCAGAACGAACGCUGGCGGCAGGCUUAACACAUGCAAGUUGAGCGGGAUUCAUUUAUAGCUUGCUAUGGAUGAUGAGAGCAGCGCACUGGUGAGUAACACGUGGGAACAUGCCUUUUGGUGGGGGACAACAGUUGGAAACGACUGCUAAUACCGCAUACGCCCUGAGGGGAAAGAUUAAUUGCCGAAAGAUUGGCCCGCGGAAGAUUAGGUAGUAGGUGGGGUAACGGCCUACCUAGCCGACGAUCUAUAGCUGGUCUGAGAGGACGAUCAGCCACAUUGGAACUGAGACACGGUCCAGACUCCUACGGGAGGCAGCAGUGAGGAAUAUUGGGCAAUGGAGGGAACUCUGACCCAGCCAUGCCGCGUGAGUGAAGAAGGUUUUCGGAUUGUAAAGCUCUUUCAGAUGGGAAGAUGAUGACGGUACCAUCAGAAGAAGCACCGGCUAACUUCGUGCCAGCAGCUGC
rnacentral:rRNA from 1 species